GUAUCGUGCGGUGCAUCUUGGGGUUGUACAUGGCUUUCAGUUGUUCGCUUGGCUUUAUAGCCUCGCWGGCGGCUGCUUAGCUUGGCGACUUCGGGGAUGUCUACCGUAAAGGUGCAUGAGUGGUGAUUGGUUUGAUACGGGUGGUCGGCUCCCUGCUUGUGCAGGCACGGCCAUGCGUGCAUUCCUUUUCAGAUGUACGACAAGACUUUCAUCGCCUUGAUCGUAAGUUGGUUUCCUGUGUUGCGUACCUGAUCAAUGGUAUUGUUUCGAUAGAAAGCGUCCCAUAUUCCUCUUGCGAUGCUUCGGCAUUGUUAGAUGAACCGCGUAUCAUCUUCUUUGAUCCAUACAUUUGACGUGUAAAUCGUUGUUUGUUUGGGUGGUUGAAGGUGUAUUGGUGUCUCGGAUAUGGAAGCCAAAGUAGGCAUGGUUCUGAAAAAUCCAUUUGUUGCCUUUAUUGAGCGGUUGUCGCUUCUCUCACACGACUGCCUUUCACGUAUGGCACGUCCCAGCGUGUUUGGCUAUGUCGAAGAGGAA
rnacentral:misc_RNA from 1 species